UACGGGGGGGGCAAGCGUUGUUCGGAAUUACUGGGCGUAAAGGGCUCGUAGGUGGCCAACUAAGUCAGACGUGAAAUCCCUCAGCUUAACUGGGGAACUGCGUCUGAUACUGGAUGGCUUGAGUUUGGGAGAGGGACGCGGAAUUCCAGGUGUAGCGGUGAAAUGCGUAGAUAUCUGGAGGAACACCGGUGGCGAAGGCGGCGUCCUGGACCAACACUGACACUGAUGAUCGAAAGCCAGGGGAGCAAACGGG
rnacentral:rRNA from 1 species